AUUGAACGCUGGCGGCAUGCUUUACACAUGCAAGUCGAACGGCAGCACGGGUGCUUGCACCUGGUGGCGAGUGGCGAACGGGUGAGUAAUACAUCGGAACAUGCCUGGUUGUGGGGGAUAACUACUCGAAAGAGUGGCUAAUACCGCAUGAGAUCUAUGGAUGAAAGCAGGGGACCUUCGGGCCGUUGCGCAACUGGAGUGGCCGAUGG
rnacentral:rRNA from 1 species